rnacentral:rRNA from 1 species
UACGUAGGGUGCAAGCGUUGUCCGGAUUUAUUGGGCGUAAAGAGCUUGUAGGCGGUUUGGCGCGUCUGCUGUGAAAUUUCGGGGCUCAACCCCGAACUUGCAGUGGGUACGGGCAGACUAGAGUGUGGUAGGGGAGACUGGAAUUCCUGGUGUAGCGGUGAAAUGCGCAGAUAUCAGGAGGAACACCGAUGGCGAAGGCAGGUCUCUGGGCCAUAACUGACGCUGAGAAGCGAAAGCAUGGGGAGCGAACAGG